UAAAGUUCAGCAGUUCCUCCCAAAACGUUGUCAUCCGAUUCCGCUUUCAAAGAUGAACCCUCUUGUUGUCCCCCAUCAGUAAUAUUUCUGUCAAACAGUCCGUGUAUGCCGUAGGGCAAAUUAUUUAAAAAUUAAAAGGUAAUUCUGAUGUCCAAGAAAAUGGGUCAAGUUAAGUGGUUCAAUGAAAGCAAAGGUUUUGGUUUUAUUGAGCAGCAGGAUGGCGGUAAAGAUGUGUUCGUUCACUUCUCUGCUAUUGCAUCGGAAGGUUUCAAAACCCUGGCUGAAGGCCAGCGUGUUGAAUACACUAUCCAGGACAGCCCACGCGGUCCGGCUGCAGCCAACGUUAUCGCGCUUUAAGCGUGA
rnacentral:sRNA from 1 species